UACGUAGGGGGCAAGCGUUGUCCGGAUUUAUUGGGCGUAAAGAGCGUGUAGGCGGCUUGGUAGGUCUCGCGUCAAAACCUGAGGCUCAACCUCAGUUCGCGUGGGAAACCACCUAGCUAGAGUCCGGAAGAGGAGAACGGAAUUCCCAGUGUAGCGGUGAAAUGCGCAGAUAUUGGGAAGAACACCAGUGGCGAAGGCGGCUCACUGGACCGGAACUGACGCUGAGGCGCGAAAGCGUGGGGAGCAAACGGG
rnacentral:rRNA from 1 species